UACGGGGGGGGCAAGCGUUGUUCGGAAUUACUGGGCGUAAAGGGCUCGUAGGCGGCCAACUAAGUCAGACGUGAAAUCCCCGGGCUCAACCUGGGAACUGCGUUUGUGACUGUAUGACUAGAGUACGGUAGAGAGGGGUGGAAUUCCUGGUGUAGCAGUGAAAUGCGUAGAUAUCAGGAGGAACAUCGAUGGCGAAGGCAGCCCCUUGGACCUGUACUGACGCUCAUGCACGAAAGCGUGGGGAGCAAACAGG
rnacentral:rRNA from 1 species